rnacentral:rRNA from 1 species
GGAUUAGGCAUACAAGUCGCACGAGAACGGGUUUCUUCGGAUUCCCUAGUAAAGUGGCGAAAGGGUGAGGAUCACCUGGACAAUCUCCCGCAGCAGGGGGACAACCAGUCGAAAGGCUGGCUAAUACCGCGUAAGACCACAGAAUGGCAUCAUUCAGAGGUCAAAGGUGGGGAUCCUUCGGGACCUGCCGGCUGCGGAGGAGUUCAGGCCCUAUCAGCUUGUUGGUGAGGUAACGGCCCACCAAGGCUGCGACGGGUAGCCGGCCUCAGAGGGUGACCGGCCACAUCUGGACUGGGACACUGCCCGGACUCCUACGGGAGGCUGCAGUUUGGAAUAUUUCCCAAUCCCCGAAAGG